ensembl:lncRNA
CUCCAGCGCUGAGAACCUUUACCACCCCACUUCCUGUGUUGAUUUUUAUUGUGCUUUUGGGUCACUGGUGACUGAGUGAGCUGUUAACACUCACAACUACUUCCCACUACUACCUGAAGCUCAGUUUCCACAUGUGUGAUAACGUGAUAAAAAUACCUAACACAUCAGGACUGUUCAGAGGACCAUAGGAAAUGAUGUGUGCAAAGAGCUUAGAGGUUCAUGGCAUACAGUGGGGACCUGUGGAGCUUUGUUCUGAACAGCUGGGGGAGACCCAGAGAAAGAAGAGAACAAGAUCUCAGUCCAGGUCAAACAGAGCCAGCAUCUCGGGGUAGUGAAAGAACAGGGGAAAACCCCAACCCAUUCCUUGCCCCUCAGACACUCUGCUGCACAACUUAACUUUUCUGUGGAAUAUAGGAAAUGAACUCCAAGCAAGUGAUGGAGUCUAAUAUCUGAAAUAAAGAGAAGCAAUUAAUCCAUGAACUGUGAAGCAAAAAGCACUGAGAAAAAUCCACCUGAGCUGAUAUUAAGCCACCAGCUUGCCUAAGGCAGACACAAGUCUACUCUUGUCAGAACCAUCAGCGGUUGUUUUGUUGAGAAGCCUGGAAAACAACAUUGCCUUGGGUAGAUUACCCAUGGGUAGGGACUGGGAUCCCACAUGGAAGAAAUAUAAGCAAGUUGCAUGCUGAAAUAAAGUCUGGGCUGCCUUAUCUGGAAAUGUCUCCCUCACACACCAGUGGAACUCCAGCCGUCUCCUCUUUAAAAUCAAGGGGUCACAGGCUAGGCACUGCCCUCUCUAUUCUAGGGGGCUUAGUCUGACUUUAUCUGUUUGAAGAUCGUCUUUUCUCCUAGAGGCAGUUACUCUCUGAACCUUCUAAGGUAACGUUAGAACUCAUAGUCAGCAGGUAUUUAUUCAUUUAGGGCAAACCCAGCUGACUAUCAAAGGUCAGUGACUGGGACAAGUAGGCCCUGGGCACCUGCAGUAUCUCCCAGCAUCUGGAGAGACAGGAAGGGCCAUCUGAAUGGCCCAAGAUGCACGGUAAGUUCAGGGACUGGAGAGGAG